ACUGAACUUGAAAGUAGAGGAAAAGAUUUUUUCCUCCCCUACACCUGAAAUCCAUUUACUUUCUGGGAGAAGGCCAAGAGACCCUCUGCCAACAAGCCCUAACUGUGGCCUUUUAAAGAGGAAGAAGUGAAUCUGUAUAGCUGUAACGGCCAAGGGAAGUCAGGAAGGUGAAAUGCAGUGAUGCCAGAUGGAAUUUGGCUAGCAGAGAAUCUUCGUGGUUGGUAAGAGUUGAUAAACAACAGCACUGGUUACGUCCAACCCUCUGCCCACUACAAGUGCCUGAACCUGUGCAACUGACUGUGGUUGGAAAGAACACACAACUUUAUUGACUGGUCUCAUUUUAACAUUCUUGACCUUGGAUUGCAAGUGGGUCCUUCAAGAGCUGCCUGGCAACCAGGAGUUAAAUCUCCACAGUAGAUUAUACAGGGACGCUUUCUCUCUCCUCUGAAGUCUGGAAGACACUUCAAAAUAGAGCCCUAAUAGGGGCUUUUCCCCCUAAUCACUUAUCAAGAUAUUCCUCCAAAGGAAGACAACUCUUCUAAGAGAAAUUCAGAAGCCAACUAUUUAAAUAAUAAAGUUUCUGGGGCUUCCCUG